AUUGAACGCUGGCGGCAGGCCUAACACAUGCAAGUCGAGCGGAUGAGUGGAGCUUGCUCCAUGAUUCAGCGGCGGACGGGUGAGUAAUGCCUAGGAAUCUGCCUGGUAGUGGGGGACAACGUUUCGAAAGGAACGCUAAUACCGCAUACGUCCUACGGGAGAAAGCAGGGGACCUUCGGGCCUUGCGCUAUCAGAUGAGCCUAGGUCGGAUUAGCUAGUAGGUGAGGUAAUGGCUCACCUAGGCGACGAUCCGUAACUGGUCUGAGAGGAUGAUCAGUCACACUGGAACUGAGACACGGUCCAGACUCCUACGGGAGGCAGCAGUGGGAAUAUUGGACAAUGGGCGAAAGCCUGAUCCAGCCAUGCCGCGUGUGUGAAGAAGGUCUUCGGAUUGUAAAGCACUUUAAGUUGGGAGGAAGGGCAGUAAGUUAAUACCUUGCUGUUUUGACGUUUACCAACAGAAUAAGCACCGGCUAACUU
rnacentral:rRNA from 1 species